ensembl:lncRNA
GUUUAUUGAGCCAGGUGACAAAUGAGGUGUAAAUGACCAUCAUCUCUAAGGAUGAAGUCUUUUACGAAAAUUCUCAGAAGUAAUGUGAGGGAAAGGUAGAUGAUCGUACCAUCCUGAAGAGAAAGGUGUUGUGUUGUGGAAUGAUUUUAAAACGGCUACAUCGGUCUUUGGUGCCUAAAUUUUCGGCCCUUCCCACUGCGAACAAGAUAGCGGUGAGUGUGUGUGUUGGGAGGUGUUCUCUUCAUUCUGAUAACAUGAUCAACUAGUUUGAUGAAGAUGAUAUUUCUCCUGAAUACAAAGGAGGCACUUUCUCUUGACUGAGGACUUGAGGCUAAGCGGACGUUUUCAACACCUCACUGUCCAACUGAAGAGCAGCUCUAAAUUCAAAAAGUCACUCAGCCAAACACUUCCCUUAAUAACUCCAGUCAUUUGAAUUGCUUAUACAGGACACUGAAAUAAAUAAAAAAAACACAUUACCCUACAGGCCAAGUAAGAAAGGAAAGAAUUAUGUGGCACAGACCAUGAAAGAAGGUUUAAGGUCAGUCAUCGGUCAUGAAAACGUCUCACUGAAGACCUGAGGUACGGUUAUGGCACUUUCCUGGCCACUAGCGACAGGAGAAACGACAAGAGGUUUGUUUCUGUUAGCAGAGAAGAGCAGACUGCUCUUAAAUAACUCCCUUAAGCUGAAGAAAGAGGAUCAAAUCUAGGGGACUGACUGCCAGAACCAGUUUAUAAAGCAACCGGGCUCUAGUGGAGCAGCAUCUAAAAGCCUACUGCCACAAUACUCUAGGUCCUAUUGAGAUAACAAACGCUUCCAAACAAACUAUCUGCUGACCAUUUCAACAAAGACGGAACCCUUAUCAAGUUUCUUGUUUCGAUUCUUCUGUAGUGGUCACCCUCCCCCAAUGACAUUCAAUUAUGGCACACUCACUACAAUCCCCUUUUUUGUGAUUCCUGAUUAGUAGGAUCAGGGAUUUAGGAAUCCCCCUAAAACCUACGGAGUAAAAGCUGGAGACCCUAACCGUUUUGCCCAAGUCCACAGUCUUUAGCAGCCUCCAUCCUUGUACGAGGGACUUUGGUUUGACAAUUUUCUAGUGGUCUGCGUAAACAUUGGUCUGAGAAAUGUGCUUGGGAAACCAGAUUAUUAAUUCCAGUUUCCAUCAAGUGCUUUCAAUUCUCACAGCUUUUGUUUUCGUUUCUUUUUUUAUUAGUUUAAAAGCAUGGACAAAUUUCAGCCAGUUCUUCCAUGCCUUUUUCACUCGGAGUAGUAAGGUAAAUUCUUUUUUUUUUUUUUGCAUAUGCAUCAUGGAAAGUGUAACACACUGAAAACAACUGUCAAGUAACCAGCUCCUUAAACCCUUGCACAAUUCAACUGCAAUCCAUCGCUAAAACAAACCAAGGGACAAAACAAAAAAUUAUAAUAAUAAAAAAAAUAACACAUACCAAGAACAUAGUUCCUACUUAAGGCCUGUACAAAAGGAAACAGGAAUUGUGUAAUGUCACUUUUUUUAUCCACCUGCAAAAGGCCACAAAUCUGAUUUAACCUCGAAGAAUUCUGAACUGUAUUUGCCUUUCAUUAUUAUAAACACUAUUCUAAAUUUAAUUUAAAGGAAAAAAAAAUUAAGUAUACAGUAUCAUUCAAACCAACUCCAUGUCUGCCACCAGUUCAUUCCCUUCAUGUACUUGCUUGGCUCCAAUGCUCCAGCCCUUUUAAUUGACGUGAAUAAAGCGAGGUGUUGGGGUUGAGCUCAGACUCACAGCAUUUUUUUAUGUCUGAACCUGGCUACGUGUUCGUCUGCAUUAACAAAAGCACAUCUCCGGGAGCAAAAAAUGAUGGACCUCUUCAAUCACCCAAUCACAGGCUUGUCCAGAGACGGCAGGAGGUCAGUGAUUGGUUCACACACACAAUCUGCUUCACCUCCCCCAGGCCGAGGCUUCUCUCACCAGGCUCUGCAGAAGGCGGUGUUGAUUGACAGAGCCCGUCGGGGCUCCACCCCCCAUCGUCACGACUGCAUGGUUCCUUUUAGAUACCACAUGCCUCCCUGGCUGGCGCAGCAGUCCUGCAGAAAGGAGAACACGACAGUUUACCACAGAGCCUACAUUACAGAGCAAAACCAUUACAAAAAAACAUGAAAGCAGUUCAAACAUCUCAACAAAUGCACAAUGCAUCUAGGCAUUCACAGAAUUUAAGUGAGAGGGAAAUAUGCCGGCCGUUCUCUAGAGACAUGCUUGGCUGUGUACAUUCUGGAGGAGUCACCUUGAGCAGCCGGUCCACGUCCGCUUUGGUGACGUUGUCGCCCAGUUCCUGAGUGAGACGACUAUGCACCAGAGUCCUCCGGACCCGGUAGUUCUUCUUGAACAGUUCAAAGAGGAUCUGCCGGUACUGAAGCAGAAAAAAAAAAAAACAUACAUCUUCAAAAAACAGGCGCUAUUGCUUAGAUAGGUAGGAUCCUCUAAGAACAACUAGACAAAAUCCCUCUUUAUUACCUUUACUAUUAUGAUUUAUGGAAGAAGGCAAUCUCUAACACUGCCCUGAAGCAAUACCCCAC